UAGAAGUUAUUCAAAGUUUAAAAAAAUAAAAAAAAUAAAUAAAAUAAAAAAUAGGCAGAUGAGGUGAAUCUGAUCUGAGAUGUUUGUAUAGUAUAUUUGGAGAUCAGCUGUGGUAAAUUAAUUUGACAUGACUCGCUAAAGAUAAAAAGCUUGUACAGCUUGGAGAGUUUGUUUACAGGUGCAGAUCUGGAAAAGGAUCCAAAUCCUUUAUGCCCCAUUGGCCGAGCCGAUGAGCCCACUGGGAAGCAUCAAUCACACCUCUAACAAGAGCCAACCCCAUGGGAGGGAUGACCAAAAACUGUGGAAAUCGGAGAACAUUCCAGAAAGAAAACCUUGAUUGCAACAUUCCACCGACCACGAUUUCAUAAUGGAGAGGUCAGCUGGAAGCUUCUCGUCACUGAGACACGAGUGCUGGUUGUUCUUCGAGAAGGUUCCCCAAAAUCCAUUGAGUUCUCAGUCACCUAGUCUCAUGUGCAGCUCCAAAAACAGCCGAAUGUAGAUGAACGGGUUUCCUGUUCCGGUGGACGUGGUGGACCUUCUGAUCUCCUCUGGUGUCAGGAUACUCAGUUUCAAAGGUUGCAGGUUCCUGUUGCUGUCGGGUGUGAAGAUGUCAAAAUGUUGACCUCCAGCCAGCUGAGGGAAGGUGGACCUCAGCAGGCCUAGGAAUUCUGCCUCCUGCAGGCCACGAGGACACUGUAGCUCUUGCACCAGGGAUGUCUUCAACACU